GGAGGAGUGACAGAAUGGCCAUUGUACUGGUCCCGAAAACCAGGGCCCGUAAGGGCUUGCAGGUUCGAAUCCUGCCUCCUCCG
rnacentral:tRNA from 1 species